rnacentral:rRNA from 1 species
UACGUAGGGUGCGAGCGUUGUCCGGAAUUACUGGGCGUAAAGAGCUCGUAGGUGGUUUGUCGCGUUGUCCGUGAAAACUCACAGCUUAACUGUGGGCGUGCGGGCGAUACGGGCAGACUGGAGUACUGCAGGGGAGACUGGAAUUCCUGGUGUAGCGGUGAAAUGCGCAGAUAUCAGGAGGAACACCGAUGGCGAAGGCAGUGAUCUGGGCCGGUACUGACGCUGAGGAGCGAAAGCGUGGGUAGCAAACAGG